rnacentral:rRNA from 1 species
ACGAACGCUGGCGGCGUGCUUAACACAUGCAAGUCGAACGGUGACGAGGAGCUUGCUCCUCUGAUCAGUGGCGAACGGGUGAGUAACACGUGAGCAACCUGCCCCAGACUCUGGGAUAACAGUUGGAAACAGCUGCUAAUACCGGAUACGAGACGGAGAGGCAUCUCUACCGUCUGGAAAGUUUUUCGGUCUGGGAUGGACUCGCGGCCUAUCAGCUAGUUGGUGAGGUAAUGGCUCACCAAGGCGACGACGGGUAGCCGGCCUGAGAGGGCGACCGGCCACACUGGGACUGAGACACGGCCCAGACUCCUACGGGAGGCAGCAGUGGGGAAUAUUGCACAAUGGGCGAAAGCCUGAUGCAGCGACGCCGCGUGAGGGAUGACGGCCUUCGGGUUGUAAACCUCUUUCAGCAGGGAAGAAGCGAAAGUGACGGUACCUGCAAAAGAAGCACCGGCUAACUACGUGCCAGCAGCCGCGGUAAUACGUAGGGUGCGAGCGUUGUCCGGAAUUAUUGGGCGUAAAGAGCUUGUAGGCGGUUUGUCGCGUCUGCAGUGAAAAUCCGAGGCUCAACCUCGGACUUGCUGUGGGUACGGGCAGACUAGAGUAUGGUAGGGGAGACCGGAAUUCCUGGUGUAGCGGUGGAAUGCGCAGAUAUCAGGAGGAACACCGAUGGCGAAGGCAGGUCUCUGGGCCAUAACUGACGCUGAGAAGCGAAAGCAUGGGGAGCGAACAGGAUUAGAUACCCUGGUAGUCCAUGCCGUAAACGUUGGGCGCUAGGUGUGGGGCUCAUUCCAC